rnacentral:hammerhead_ribozyme from 1 species
AUCCAGCUAACGAGUCCGGAAUAGGAUGAAACGCGCUUCCUGGAU